ensembl:snRNA U4 U4 spliceosomal RNA
AGCUUUGCGCCGUGGCAGUAUCGUAGCCAAUGGGAUUUAUCUGAGGUGCGAUUAUUGCUAAUUGAAAACUGAACGCUGGGCAGGGACAGUUACUGAAAAUCCAUCAACAAGACCCUGACCAAGACUCUUUUACUGAUUAUCAUCU